UGUGGUGUGCGUGUCUGCCC
rnacentral:misc_RNA from 1 species